CCCUUCAGAGGGGGACAACAGUUGGAAACGACUGCUAAUACCGCAUACGAUCUAAUCUCGGCAUCGAGGAUGGAUGAAAGGUGGCCUCUAUUUAUAAGCUAUCACUGAAGGAGGGGAUUGUGUCUGAUUAGCUAGUUGGAGGGGUAACGGCCCACCGAGGCGAUGAUCAGUAGCCGGUCUGAGAGGAUGAACGGCCACAUUGGGACUGAGACACGGCCCAG
rnacentral:rRNA from 1 species